rnacentral:rRNA from 1 species
UGGGGAAUCUUGCACAAUGGGGGCAACCCUGAUGCAGCGACGCCGCGUGAGCGAUGAAGGUUUUCGAAUCGUAAAGCUCUGUCCUAUGGGAAGAUAAUGACGGUACCAUAGGAGGAAGCCCCGGCUAAUUACGUGCCAGCAGCCGCGGUAAUACGUAGGGGGCGAGCGUCGUCCGGAAUUACUGGGCGUAAAGGGUUCGCAGGCAGCAUGGCAAGUCCGAUGUAAAAGGCGAAGGCUCAACCUUCGUAAGCAUCGGAAACUGUCAAGCUUUAGUGAAGGAAAGGCAAGUGGAAUUCCUAGUGUAGCGGUGGAAUGCGUAGAUAUUAGGAGGAAUACCGGUGGCAAAGGCGACUUGCUGGACUUCAACUGACGCUGAGGAACGAAAGCGUGGGUAGCAAACAGG